GUUUCACAAUGGGCGAAAGCCUGAUGGAGCGACGCCGCGUGGGGGAUGAAGGGCUUCGGUCCGUAAACCCCUGUCAUUUGCGAACAAACCUUUCCACCUAACAUGUGGAGAGCUGAUUGUAGCGAAAGAGGAAGGGACGGCUAACUCUGUG
rnacentral:rRNA from 1 species